rnacentral:lncRNA from 1 species
CGUACACCAGGCAUAUUUCUGCACGGAUUAACUCAUUUAAGCUUUAUAAUCUCCCUCUGAACUCAGCAAACACUGAAAAAAAACUUUAAUGAAAGGAAGGGGAGCAGAAACUCAUCGCCAGGCUUGAAAGUAAAGCUUCAACCACCUCCUACUCCUGUGUGUCUCGGCUCAAGACCCAGAUUCCCAGAAGAGCGAGCUAGGAUUGACCAACGAGAGUCAGGCACCCAGCCCUACAGCCAGGGGGUGAAGUUCGGUGAUUGACAGCCCCAUCAGAGCCAUGUAACACAGGCAAGGGGUAGUUCCCCAGAGGAAGUGACACCCAGCAAACAGACACACCGACGACAAGUAUAACCACUCUCACAGAACCAGGACUCCUUCUAAGAACAUAGAACCUUGCUGGAGGGGAGGUCCUCAUCUAAGACAGGCACAGAUGGCUCAAAUCACAGUGACAAUGUUACGCUCAGUCAAGAGUCUGAAGAGUCUCAGACCCUCCUUGAAAUUCAAGGCCAGCGCUGGAUAAGGACCUUCAAGGUAUUUAAGCAGCUUCCCAAGGUGCAGCGCCCAGAAGAAAAUGCUCACUGGAUUUAUGGGGCACAUUAUUGAUAAACCCAGCGACCAUGUGUCAUAAUUCAGUAUGCAGGCGGAGAAGCAAAUGGCACUAGAGGUUUUGUAUUAAAUAGACAGACCCUGAGCCUGAUUUAUGUAUCGAGUGCCAGUUGCUCCCAGGGGGACCCAGGACAAUAGGUCUGAAACUACUUCUGUCUUUGCUUCUUGACUCCUUCCUCUGUGUCUGAAAGGAUUCACUAGGCAGUAUGACCUUUGCAAUGUCGUCAUUGCUUGUUACAUCUGCCCUAGGAGGUGGACUUUGAGAUUUACCAGGAAUGAAACCACAUCCAUGACUAUUGCCUUUGAAAUGGGACAGUCCCUGCUGGACACUGUUAAAAUACUUCAGAAGGUAGCAUUUCCCCCGUUUUUCCACAAGGGCUGCUUUCAAGAUAUAACCACCUGUUUAUGUAUGUGUUUAUGCUUCUAACACUUAUUGAAGACCAUUAAGAAACAGACUCUCUGCUCUGCAUUAUGGUUACAAAAAUAUGUAAGAUGUAGCUCCACUCUCAACUUUCUUACAGUCUAAUGGAGAUUGAGAAUGUUAGCAAAUGUACUAAAAUAGGAGCAAUGAGACCUAGCGCAUCUGGACCAUUUUUCUAUCUAUUCAAACUCGAGUAUAUCUCUUUGAUACUCAGGUUGCUCACCUGAAAGAUGCAGAGAAUAGUAAAUCCAUACCUGUCCCAAAGGCCAUUAGAAAGCGCA